GUGCAAAGGUAAUUGCAGUUUUUGCCAUUAAAAGUAAUGGCAAAAACUGCAAUUACCUUUACACC
rnacentral:miRNA from 1 species